rnacentral:lncRNA from 1 species
UGCCUGUAAUCCCAGCUCCUUGGGAGGCUGAGGCACCAGAAUUGCUUGAACCCAUGAGGCAGAGGUUGCAGUGGGGCAAGAUCGUGCCACUGCACUCCAGCCUGGGCAACAGAUCGAGACUCAGUCUCAAAAAAAAAAGGGAGGGAGGGGGAAGAAAACAGAACAGAGAGGAAGCAAUGCAACAAACUGAGAAGCAGAGCAGCAAGAGACGAGUUUACAAAAGGAGAUCAUAAAUGGCACAUUGUGGCUGGGCGUGGUAGUUCAUGCCUGUAAUCCCAACACAUUGGGAGGGCGAGGCAUCUUCUCUGCUCUUCCUUGAACAUCGAGCAAAUGGAAUAAUUCAGUGUGCAGUGUCAUGAAGAUAUCUAGUUUGAGUUGGUCCUGGUGUCAUUUGGCCCCGUGGAAAGAUACCAA